rnacentral:misc_RNA from 1 species
AGCAGCCCGAAGCAAACCGAACUCGCCAAACUGUGCUCUUUCCAUUUGCCCGGCUUUGACGAACUGCAGUCUUCCAGACCUGUCUCCAAACAACACCUGAUUUUCGACUCCCCCAAGAGGAAACCAAACACACCAACCAUGUCGCACAACGGUACAGCAGGUGAGUGGCGAGAGCUCGGUGAAGAGCAGCCAACGCUAUCCUCCAAGCCACAAGACGCAGCCAUGAACACUUAUGCCACCAAGGAGGCUUACGAGGGAGAGCGUGCCGAGCACUUAGCUCAGAAGUCUCACUCUCCUCAAUAUUACUUGGCGGACAGCGAGCCCCAAGUAAUCCCGCAGCAGGCCUACGAGGAGGAGGCUCCCCAGGAGUAUCCGAAAGAGAUCGGCAAUAACUAUGACGCACCGCAGCACGCGUACGAGGUGGUGGCCCCGGACAACGCUCACGCCCGCUCGAUGCCUGCGCCGCACGCUGCCGCUGCCGCUACGCCGCCGAGCGCGAUCGUGAAGCCGCGGAUGCGCAACGUGAAGAGCGUCGCGCGCUGGGAGGCGGUGGAGUAUGACCUGCGUGACGGCAGCGACGAUGAGUUCGAGCUGUCGACGUGCAUGACACCGGUAUACGAGGGCGAAGGUGAGGAGGGCAACGAGGAUGCGAGCGUGUUCAAGCACGGCGAGCCGGAUUGCAAGGGGGAGAUCAUGUCGUGCUUCGACGAGCCGAACCUGCUGUACCGGAUCAUUGACCCGAAGGCGAAGACGUGGUCGUUUUACAACGACAGCCUGCAGUACGAGAUGCAUGUGCAGUUCAUAUUUGGCAAGCACUCGAAGCUGCAGCCGCUGGAGAACACGACGCUGCGGCAGAACGAAGAGGGCCAAUACGUGAUGGAGGUGGUCGUGUACCCGACGGAGACCGAGAUGUUUUUGCAGGGCACCGUGAACGGGUUCACAAGCAAGCUGCGCGCUGUGCCACUGACGGAGGACUACCAUAAUGCGCGCCGCGGGAUCACGGAGGAGCUGGUGAACAACGAGGUGGCUGCGAUCCAGCAGGUGACGAGCAGCGACAACGCGGAGGACGUGCUGCAGGCGUGCAUCGACAGCGGGAUCCCAUUCGUGGACCCCGAGUUCCCGCCGUGCCAGGCGUCGCUGGAAGCUGGCGCGAACAAGCCGUUCAAGCCGUUUGCGUGGGCACGGCCGCAGGCAUGCGUGCCGGAGGAGAUGGCGUCGCAGGUUCGACUGUUCCGCGCGAACGUGAGGCCCGGCUGUGUGGACGCUGGCGACCUCGGCGACUCGUGGGUGAUUUGCUCUGUUGCGUCGGUGUCGGAGGACCCUGCGCGGCUGAUGGGGAUGUUCCGCCACCCGGAGGGCAAGGCUGCGGCACAGCGCGAGCACGCGGUUGGCGCGUACCGCGUGACGUUCAACAAAAAUGGGUGGUGGCGCAGCGUGCUGGUGGACAGCUACCUGCCUGUGUCCGGCGGCAAGCUGAAGUACGCGAAGAGCGCGACGGACCCGGCGGAGAUCUGGCCUGCGAUCCUGGAGAAGGCGUACGCGAAGCUGCAUGGCAGCUACGCGAGGAUCUGCUCCGGCGACCCGCUGCACGCGCUGCAGGACAUGACCGGGUUCUCGACGAUGCGCUUCGACGAGUUGCUGACGGACGACAAGGCGAGCGACCAGCUGUUCAGCGACCUUGUGCAUGGGAUUGCUGCAGGGUACACGGUGAUCUGCAGCACACCAGGGCGCGGGCCACACGACAAAGACCAGGAGCUGUGCGAGGCGUACGCGCAGGUGGGGCUUGUGACCGGGUGCGCGUACACGAUCCUGGAGGCGAAGCACAUCGAGAACAAGGACCUGCGGAUGGUGAAGGUACGCAACGCAUGGGGGCGCGGUGUGGAGUGGAGCGGCAGCUGGGGCAACGACGACACGAAAUGGGACGCGAACCCAGAUAUCGCGGAGGAAUGCAACUUCCAGAAGGCGGCGAAUGGGAUGUUCUGGAUGUCGUGGAAGGACGCGCGGAAGUACUUCAACGGUGGUGGCGUGUGCUUCACGCACCAGCCGGCGUACGACUACCGCAUGAACUGCGUGUUCACGGAAGGCGUGCCGUCCGCUGUGCUGGAGAUCGAGGUGCAGUCGCCUACGUGCUUCACGUUUGUGAUUUCACAGGACGACAAGCGGUGCCAGGUGAACGCGUCGGAGUACAAGCCUGUGAUGAUCAGCAUUGCGGAGCCCGUGGAGGGCGACAUGUACAAGGUCGUCAUGAAUUCCUCGGCGAACGGCGCGCGGCCGACGUCGGACAAGUGGAUGUUUCUUCAGGCACGCGACGUCUCACUGAUCCACAAGCUGGACGCUGGGAAGUACAUUGUCGUGCCGCGCAUCAUGCCGUCGGAUGACCCAGUGGAGCCUGUACCGUACGUUCUGGGGAUGAUCUGCAACAAGGAGGUUGGCAACGGCGACGUGAGCGUGAAGUUUAAGCGCCUGGACGCUGGCAACCGCGUGUUCGAGAACUUCCCGAAGUUCGAGCCGGAGCUGAUGGAGGUGGAGCAGCCGGUGCAGUACCAGAAGCGCGCGCCGGGCGAGGCAUUCCCGAUGACACAGAUGGGGGAGGAGCUGAUUUAGUGCUGGGCUGUUGCUAUUCUGUGUGGAGAUGCACCACUCGUGAGAACUGAUGUGGUACCUCAGGAGACUCGCAGCUGUGUCUCGAGCUGUCAUGGUUUAUGCGAAGGGUUCAAGAAGCCUUGUAACGUGAGGCGUCUUGCUGUGUGCUGAGCCGAACUGCACACUUAGGCAUGCGAUGAGGAAAGGCCGAAAGGAUUCCCACUCUGCAGAUUCUGUCGUGGGACUUGCAGAUAGUCGCGCGAGAGUGCCGGGUGUGAUGUUGAAUGUCACGCGCCGUUUCCUUGGUGGCGCUGGGGGCGCUUUUCGACUGCUCACCGCAGCGUGAAGACUUUUUUCAAGAGACCACUUUUCAUUGUGGUAACCUGACGUAGGUGGGUUAUCGGUGCGGAGUCGAACUUGGUAUUGAGCUUUUCUUGGUUGUCCUCUGCUUUUCAGACCGGACUUCGCUUCCUGAUUGCUUACAGGCUGGGGUUUAGUGCUCCGUUUUUUCUUUCGUGUGGGGGAUGAUAUUGCCCCUUGUGCUCUGCUGUAGUCUGUGAGACCUUCACCUGAUCCCCGCGCUGUUUGCAGACGCACGCAUCCUCAUAGCGAUUUGUCAAGGCGUUUCACGUUUUGUUCGCUGGCGGCUGUUGAUGACGACGAUGACGGCAGAGCUCAUCUUUCCCUUCUUCGCGCUUCUUGCAGGAGGUUCGUAUCGCCUGUGUGUGGUCUCAAUAAAGUUGGCGCUUUUGUUUCCUUGAUAGUGAUGUAUCGACGCUGACAGUUCUUGUGGCGCUGUUUGUUUACUCCCUUUCUUUUUUUUUGCGUGACUCUCAUUUUCUCUGGCUUUCGAUUGGCGUAGGGCGGAGGUCUUGGGUCAAGCACCUGGCAGAGGAGUUGGCCGUUCUCUGUUUUUCUUUGGGCGGAUCUCUCUCUCUUCCACCGUCGCGCCCUAUCGCAUUCGAGACACACCGAUUGCAUAUCUCUUCUUCCCUUCUCGUAAGUUACAUCAGUUGCUCUCCGCUUUUUAUUGCUCAUUAUUACUUCACAAGAAGGCCAGGAUGAUGUGUGGGCCGACGGCGCCCCCUUUUCCUGUUUCUUGCUCUGCGAUGACUUGUGAACUUGCGCCCGACGGGAUGUCUUAGUUUUCUCUUCCCCUUCCGUGUCAUUCUUCUGCACUACAAAGUGAGUGACUCUACUUCGCGAGGACAAAAGUCUUGCGACGAGGAGCCUCACGCGAGCAGGACCACCUUCUUCCUGUAUUCCUCCUCGCACCGCUGCCGCACAAGCCUGCAUCAAGGUAAAGGAGGUGAAAAAAAGAAGAGUGAUCGAAAGCGCCGCGUUGAAGCCAAAGCACCCGCUCGAUGCCCACGGGCAUACUCCCCUCUUCUUCCCUUCUUUGUUUCUUCUUGUCUAUCAACCGUGCUUUAUCCGUAUCUUUUUUUUUUAAUGUUUUUAUCCCCUUAUUCCACCGACAUAGUUACCCAUUCACCGUGCUGUAUUCGUUUCUUUGUUUCCCCUACGCUUAGGUGCGAACUCUCUUUCCCUUUUUUUUUUCACUCUCUAAUCUCUAUCGCGCGUGCACACUUCUACAAAAGGAACAACGAGGAGGCAACUAAAUCAUGCCCUGUUUCUUCUACCUCAAAGCGGGGCACUUUGCUUUGCCUUCCCUGUCUUUCUCUUGUGUGUCUCGGCCAGAUUCGUCUCUUCGCCUUUUUCCUUUACCUCCGUAGAGGGGCAGGGCAUUCAUCUCUUUCUUUCCUGUCUCCCAAAAGGCGUGCUUAACCUGUAUUUAUACAAUCGAAAAAAUACAGAUACGUUUCCCCAUCCCUUUCUUCCUCCCACUUUAAUACGAAUAUAAGCUGGAUGUUGAGCAGCCAAACG